rnacentral:rRNA from 1 species
AGAAUCAACGCUGGCGGCGUGCCUAACACAUGCAAGUCGAACGAGAAAGUGGAGCAAUCCAUGAGUAAAGUGGCGCACGGGUGAGUAACACGUGACUAACCUACCCUUGAGUGGGGGAUAACCUAGGGAAACCUGGGCUAAUACCGCAUAAUACCUUCGGGUCAAAAGGAGCAAUUCGCUUAAGGAGGGGGUCGCGGCCGAUUAGUUAGUUGGCAGGGUAAUGGCCCACCAAGACUGUGAUCGGUA